CCCCGUGCAAAAUACCCCAAAUCGAACCCAACCCUAACCUGUGCCUGCUGUCGCCGCCGUCACGCUCGAUCCAAUCCUGUGCCACCAUCACCGCCGGCCUCGCGCUCCACCCAGUCCUCAAUCCCCCGUCCCGGAGCUCGCACUCCCCCGCCGCCGGCCUCACACUCCACCCCGUCCUCAAUCCGCCGUACUCAAUCCCCUGAGCUCCAGACCUAUAUCGAGGCGCCGUCCUCGCGCUGUCCAUCCAGUCGCUGUCCGCGCACAACCCCCUCCCCCAACGUCCAGCCGACGUCAUCGUCAAUCCCCGUCCUGUGGCUGCCGGGAUCCAUCUCUGGGCUCCCACUGCUUCCGCACCUGCUACUGCGGGGCUCCAUAUCUGGGCUCUUGCUGCCGCCGGAGCUCCAUCUUCGGGCUGCCGCUGCUGUCGGCCCUGCUACUGUUUGACUUCUGCCCUCUGCUGCUGGGCUCCAUCUCCAGGCUCAUGAGAUCCGUCCCCAAGAUCCGUCCGUCCACCGCCCCCAACCCCAAUCCCAUUCCACGUCCCCGAGUCCCCGACCCCAUCCCUUACUCCCUUCCUUGGAGUCACAGCCUCCGACAACUCCGUCCAUCAUCGCCUUGCACCUCGGGCUGGAGGGAGUGGGUGUUACUAGAUCUCACGACACUGCAUCUGUUGUUGACAAAAUGCACCACUUGUGGCUGCUAUGUUUUCUCCCUCAUACACGGCAUCAAUGGUGUGUCUGCCUGAUCCUGCAACAAGUGUUCACUCUUUGAUGAGUCUUCUAAUCUGCAAUUUAUGCCUGGUCCAUCUUCAUGCUACACAUGGUACUUUGACAUGGCCAUCAGCCUGACAGGAAUCCACUCCAAUUUUUUUAAAGCUUGCUAGGUUGCCAGACGAUGGGUGCUGAAAUUUCUUAUAUCUCAUAAAUUUGGAAGUCUUGAGAAGAUCAUGCAGUUGUUCCAAUAUUCAUGAAAAUGCCCCUUUUAGCAGAUAGUAACUCAAGUAUAUAGAAGAUACAAGUAACCAAAGGGAGUUUUGGUUUCAGGUGUCGAUCCUCCUUUUUCCGUACUUGCUGGUAGCAUUUUCCUUUUUUUGGUUUCAUAUGGCAUCUAUCUUAUAUUUCUGGCAGCAGUUAAAUUGAACUGGAGGCAGAAAACAAACUUGAUACACUAUAAAUGUGUUUCUAGAUUGUACCAACUCGUCGUUUUUUGUGUAUUGAAAAUAUCUUCUUAGAGUCAGAAUCACCAUUUGAUGCACUAAUACUUGCAUCGCUUCCACUUUAGUACAUUAUUUGCUAUCACAUAUAUUAAUAUAGUUGACGAAAUCUUCUAGUUAAUGCUAACAUGUCUGCUUAAAAUGGGAAAGAUGGCUAAUUUGUGGGUUGAGCAUAUUUAUAACUAAUUAUAGCCUAUCAAUCCCAUUCUGAUUGUAAGCAGUAGGAAGAUACAAGAAGUUCAACCAUAAUAAUGAUGAUCUAGUUCAAGAAUAAGGCAGUACUUAAAUCUUAAUAAUGUUCGUACAUGGUACUUUUGUGAGAUAUUCGUGUUUGUUCUGGUGAUGGACUAAUAUUACCUGAAAAUCCUUUGUGCAUUUGAAAAGUUCAUACAAUAAACUUACCAAGGACAUAACUUGCAGUCCCUUGGCUUACUUUCUAAUUUGAUUUAGGAUCAGCCGAGUUAUCUAUAUUAUUAAACAUAGUUUUCGUCUUCAUAGGGUGGUUGAUACAUGUCUUCACACUUUUCAGAGCAACGUGCGGUGGAAGAAGCAGCCUAUGAACUAAAAUAGUUUGCAUAAGAAACAUGCAAUGCGAGUACUCAACCAUCUACUGCGCAUGGAUGUGAUACUUCGGACUGUUCGACAGCAUUUGGCUGUUUGCAGUAUUUUGGACCAGCUAACUUGCGAUCAUGAAUCUUAUGUCUGUUCUGGACCAUUUGGUGCUUCAACUGAUUUGGAGCAUAUAUCUUGUGCUUAUGGGUGUGACUUUGUUCUGGACCAUUUAGUGUUUGAACUCCUUUAGAACAACAAAUAGUGGUCCUUUUAUGUGGCUUGUGUUUUGUAGAUGGUGGUCCAAAUGGCCAAACUUUGCUUUGUCAAGAUUGUCCUGUUUUUGAACUUAUGAUCAAUACAUGUAUGUUUUUGAACAUAUUAUCAAUGCUUGUGCAAUAUGUGUUCAUCUUGAUCCUGUUUGUGUAUAACAUUUGAGCAUUGUAUAAUAUUUCAA